rnacentral:rRNA from 1 species
UACGGAGGAUGCGAGCGUUAUCCGGAUUUAUUGGGUUUAAAGGGUGCGCAGGCGGCACGGCAAGCCGGCGGUCAAAUCGCGGGGCUCAACCCCGCCCAGCCGCCGGAACUGCCGGGCUAGAGUGGGCGAGAAGUGCGCGGAAUGCGUGGUGUAGCGGUGAAAUGCAUAGAUAUCACGCAGAACUCCGAUUGCGAAGGCAGCGCACCGGCGCCCUACCGACGCUCAGGCACGAAAGCGUGGGUAUCGAACAGG